rnacentral:rRNA from 1 species
UGAACGCUGGCGGCGUGCCUAAUACAUGCAAGUCGAGCGAACAGACGAGGAGCUUGCUCCUCUGACGUUAGCGGCGGACGGGUGAGUAACACGUGGAUAACCUACCUAUAAGACUGGGAUAACUUCGGGAAACCGGAGCUAAUACCGGAUAAUAUAUUGAACCGCAUGGUUCACUAGUGAAAGACGGUUUUGCUGUCACUUAUAGAUGGAUCCGCGCCGCAUUAGCUAGUUGGUAAGGUAACGGCUUACCAAGGCAACGAUGCGUAGCCGACCUGAGAGGGGGAUGGGCACAACGGGAACGAAAAACCGGCCAAAACCCCAAGGGGGGGCAGAGGGGGGAAUUCUGCCGAAAGGGGGAAAAGCCUGACGGGGCAACCCGGGGGGGGUGAGGAAGUUCUUGGGAUGGAAAAACUUUUUUAUUGGGGAAAAAAAAAUUUGUAAGUAACUAUGCCCGUUUGGACGGACCCAAAGAAGAAAGCCCCGGCAAAUUACUG